GCAGCCCACGGACCCGGAAUGGCGUUGGCCUGCAUGUGAUCGAGCAAUUGCUCGUCGACACGCUCGGCGGUCCGCCGCAGCGCCAGUUCGCGCAGCGCAGUCAGAUUGCCCGGCGAAAAAUAAUGCUCAAGCGCGCGCUCGGCCUGCUUGGGAACGUAGACCUUGCCUUCCUUGAGCCGCUGAAUCAGAUCGCCCGGCGUCAGAUCGACCAGUUCGAUGUC
rnacentral:misc_RNA from 1 species